rnacentral:rRNA from 1 species
AGUGAACGCUGGCGGUAGGCCUAACACAUGCAAGUCGAACGGCAGCACAGGAGAGCUUGCUCUCUGGGUGGCGAGUGGCGGACGGGUGAGGAAUACAUCGGAAUCUACUUUUUCGUGGGGGAUAACGUAGGGAAACUUACGCUAAUACCGCAUACGACCUACGGGUGAAAGCAGGGGAUCUUCGGACCUUGCGCGAUUGAAUGAGCCGAUGUCGGAUUAGCUAGUUGGCGGGGUAAAGGCCCACCAAGGCGACGCUCCGUAGCUGGUCCGAGAGGAUGAUCAGCCACACUGGAACUGAGACACGGUCCAGACUCCUACGGGAGGCAGCAGUGGGGAAUAUUGGACAAUGGGCGCAAGCCUGAUCCAGCCAUACCGCGUGGGUGAAGAAGGCCUUCGGGUUGCAAAGCCCUUUUGUUGGGAAAGAAAUCCAGCUGGUUAAUACCCGGUUGGGAUGACGGUACCCAAAGAAUAAGCACCGGCUAACUUCGUGCCAGCAGCCGCCGUAA